rnacentral:rRNA from 1 species
AUGAACGCUGGCGGCGUGCCUAAUACAUGCAAGUCGAGCGAACAGAUAAGGAGCUUGCUCCUUUGACGUUAGCGGCGGACGGGUGAGUAACACGUGGAUAACCUACCUAUAAGACUGGGAUAACUUCGGGAAACCGGAGCUAAUACCGGAUAACAUAUUGAACCGCAUGGUUCAAUAGUGAAAGGCGGCUUAGCUGUCACUUAUAGAUGGAUCCGCGCCGUAUUAGCUAGUUGGUAAGGUAACGGCUUACCAAGGCAACGAUACGUAGCCGACCUGAGAGGGUGAUCGGCCACACUGGAACUGAGACACGGUCCAGACUCCUACGGGAGGCAGCAGUAGGGAAUCUUCCGCAAUGGGCGAAAGCCUGACGGAGCAACGCCGCGUGAGUGAUGAAGGUCUUCGGAUCGUAAAACUCUGUUAUCAGGGAAGAACAAAUGUGUAAGUAACUGUGCACAUCUUGACGGUACCUGAUCAGAAAGCCACGGCUAACUACGUG